CCCACACUCCCGAGGGGAAAAAGAAAGCGAGAAAGCUUCGAGCUUUGCCUCCCCCGUCCCCCCACCCCCACCCCCAAGGGUAAAAUGUGAUGUUGCCAUCCAUCCGAAUCCGAGAAUCCGAUUGCUUCUAGUUUGUCUCCCCAACUCCUCGCCUCGCCUCUCCUCCUGGUUAUGGGCGCCGGCGAGUUGGAUGGACGCGCCUUGUCGGACGCGGAGCAGCAGUAGCGGCGGGCAACCAGGCGGGGGAUCUGGAUCCGAGGCACCACCACCGGGCUCCUCACGGCGGCGACGCAGGCGGCGGCGGAGAAGGAGGAGGAGGCGGAGGAGCGCAGCAAGAAGCAGAUGAGCAGCAGCGGCACCACAACAACCGGCUGCUGCAGUUCCACCAGCAAGUGCAGCAGAACCAAGACCCGCCGCCGGUCCCCCUCUUUCAGCUCCAGCACCUGCAGGCCGCGGCGGCCGUGAGGCAGCGGGGCGGCUUGUCGGCCGAGUAUGCCCUUCUCGACCCCAUGGGCGACGCCGGCCAGUCCCACUCCCACCGCCACCACCACGGCUUCCAGCCGCAGCUCCUGUCCUUCGGAGGAGUCGGCCAGCACCACAUGCACCAGUUCACGGCGCAGGCGCCCGCGGCGUCUCACUCCUCGCGGCCGCGGAUAGGAGGGGUGGGCGCGGGCGGCGAGGCCGCGGCCGCCACGUCCGCGUCGCACUCGCGCGCGAGGGGCGGCGCCGGGGAGAUCGUGGCCGUGCAGGGAGGGCACAUUGUGCGCUCCACGGGGCGCAAGGACCGCCACAGCAAGGUGUGCACGGCGCGCGGGCCGCGGGACCGGCGCGUGCGCCUCUCUGCGCACACCGCCAUCCAGUUCUACGACGUGCAGGACCGGCUGGGCUACGACCGCCCCAGCAAGGCCGUCGACUGGCUCAUCAAGAACGCCAAGGACGCCAUCGACAAGCUCGAGACGCUGCCCGCGUGGCAGCCCACGGCCAAUGCCGCCGCGCCGCCGUCCUCCUCGACGCACCCCGACUCCGCCGAGAACUCCGACGACCAGGCGCAGGCCAUCACCGUCGCCGCGCACGCUCCGUUCGACUUCUCCGGCGCCGGUGGAGCAAGCGGCGGCGCCGCGGGCUUCCUCCCGGCGUCGCUCGACUCGGACUCCAUCGCGGACACGAUCAAGUCGUUCUUUCCCAUGGCUGGCACGGGUGGCGGCGGCGAGGCGUCGUCGUCCACGGCGGCGGCGCAGUCGUCGGCCAUGGGCUUCCAAAGCUACACGCCCGACCUCCUGUCGCGCACCGGCAGCCACAGCCAGGAGCUCCGGCUGUCGCUGCAGUCUCUCCCAGACCCCAUGUUCCACCAGCAGCAGGACCGGUCGGAAGCCCACGGCGGCAAUGGCUCGGCGCAGCAGGCGCUCUUCUCCGGCGCCGCCAGCUACUCGUUUGGCGGCGGCGCCAUGUGGGGCGAGCAGGCGCAGAGCCAGCGCAUGGUGCCGUGGACCGUGCCCGACCCAGGCGGCGGGAGCGCUGGCGGCUACCUGUUCAACGUGUCGCAGCAGGCGGCGCACAUGCAGGCGGCGUUUGGCGGCCAGAGCCAGUUCUUCUUCCAGAGGGGACCCCUUCAGUCCAGUAACCAGCCCUCCGAGCGAGGAUGGCCGGAGAGCGUCGAAGCCGACAACCCGAUGCAGCACGGCGGGCUCAGCCCCGCUGUGUCGGCCAUCGGGUUCUCGCCCGGCGUCGGCUUCUCCGGGAUCCGCAUCCCCACCAGGAUGCAGGGCGACGAGGAGCACAACGGCGGCGGCAAUGGCGACAAGCCGCCGCCGCCGUCCGUGUCCUCGGCUUCUCACCACUGACGACGGCAGAGCAGUGGAGCGCAGAUUACUCCGCGCGCCCACCAUGCCACCAACCACCAUCACGAGCAUUUCAGCAGCAUACCAUGCAUGAAUUCAGCAAACACAUAUCACCGUCAGCUAGCUCCUCAACAUGCACCGCCGUAGUUACUUUGCUGCUGCUUCCUACGACAACGGAUGGCUGCAGCAAAAUGGAGGAGCAAGGUUGGGAGCGAAGCACUCUUUUUGACUGGCUGGUUGGUUGGCCGGUCGGUCGGUCGGUCGGUUUCUCUACCAUCUCUCGCUGCUUUGUGUACGUCACUGGUUUUUGCUCCAAGAACUCACUCACUCACUCGGAGCUUCUCUUGUUAGAAAUUAGGCCUGUGAGAACGCAGCACAUUGGCUAGCCAGCAGGUUCUUUCUUCACUAGAUCUCUUGCUGCUUGUCCGUUUGCUGCGUUGUUACAGUAGGUUUAGUUGAUGUUCUAGUUGCUGUAGUAGUUCUCAAGCUUUUGCAUCUUAAUUUUGCUGUUGUUCUCGCUGGCGCUCUGCACGGAUCGAUGGGGGUUAAGCUAGUGUGCUUCCUCCUGGGGUUCAGGGAGCAGCUAUAAGCGGCAGCGCAGCGCCAGCCAGCGGAUGAUGUUGUUGUUGUUGUUAGCCUGAUAAUUAAGCGGAUGGGGACAGGAGUCUUUGGUUCUUUUUAAAAUAAUCUCUCUGAUGUGAUUGGCGUU